UAUUGGACAAUGGGCGAAAGCCUGAUCCAGCCAUGCCGCGUGUGUGAAGAAGGUCUUCGGAUUGUAAAGCACUUUAAGUUGGGAGGAAGGGCAGUUUCCUAAUACGAAAUUGUUUUGACGUUACCGACAGAAUAAGCACCGGCUAACUCUGUGCCAGCAGCCGCGGUAAUACAGAGGGUGCAAGCGUUAAUCGGAAUUACUGGGCGUAAAGCGCGCGUAGGUGGUUUGUUAAGUUGAAUGUGAAAUCCCCGGGCUCAACCUGGGAACUGCAUCCAAAACUGGCAAGCUAGAGUAGGGCAGAGGGUGGUGGAAUUUCCUGUGUAGCGGUGAAAUGCGUAGAUAUAGGAAGGAACACCAGUGGCGAAGGCGACCACCUGGGCUCAUACUGACACUGAGGUGCGAAAGCGUGGGGAGCAAACA
rnacentral:rRNA from 1 species